GGCUUUCCUGGUUCAGAUGGACUUCCAGGCACAGAUCAAAGACCCGGACUACCUGGUAUGGAAGGCGAACAGGGUCCACAAGGGUUUAAGGGAGAUAAAGGACCUACUGGAGAAAAAGGAGAUGUGGGCUUUCUUGGAGAUCCUGGCACUCCUGGUGAAAAAGGGGAGAAAGGAGCAAAGG